CAGGUUGUUUUCAUAUUGUCUGAAUAUUCAAAUAGAUUUAAUUGUAUUGAAAAUGUGUUUAUAUACAUAUAUUUUGUAUAAUUCAGUAUACUGCAAAUGGAGGUAAGAUGUCUUCAAAAAGAGAAACCUGAAAAUAAAGGAUGGUAUUAUGUACCAACACAAGGUCAGUUUAAAGAAAGGGAAGACAUGUACGGAAGUCAGGAGAUGGUGAAGGCUAGAGAAUUAGGGAAAUAACUUGUUACUAAGAUAUAUCGUACAGGAUUAUUAUGAAACAGAGCCACUUAUUAUUUUAAUGCAUUGCUUUUGAACUUUUAAUGUGGUUUAUUGACAUAAUUUCCUCUUCACAGUUUUAAUAUAGAUAUAAUUAUGAGGAUUUUCAAAUAAACUUUCAGUACCUGAAUUUAAGAAGAAUUGAAGAUUAAGUGUUAGAUUUUGUAUGAAACAUAGUGUUUUGCAUCAAAUUUUGUGAAUAAACAUUGAGAAAAUA